rnacentral:rRNA from 1 species
GAUGAACGCUGGCGGCGUGCCUAACACAUGCAAGUCGAGCGAGAUAAAUGUGAGUGGAGACUUCGGUCAAAGCAAUCAUUCUGAAAGCGGCGGACGGGUGAGCAACGCGUGAGCAAUCUGCCCCAUACAAAGGGAUACCCACUGGAAACGGUGAUUAAUACCUUAUAAGACCACGAAGUCGCCUGGCUUAGUGGCCAAAGAUUUAUCGGUAUGGGAUGAGCUCGCGUCUGAUUAGCUAGUUGGUGAGGUAAUGGCUCACCAAGGCGACGAUCAGUAGCCGACCUGAGAGGGUGAACGGCCGCACUGGAACUGAGACACGGUCCAGACGCCUACGGGAGGCAGCAGUGGGGAAUAUUGCACAAUGGGCGCAAGCCUGAUGCAGCAACGCCGCGUGAAUGUUGAAGGCCUUCGGGUCGUAAAGUUCUGUCCUAAGGGAAGAAUACAGUGACGGUACCUUAGGAGGAAGCCCCGGCUAACUACGUGCCAGCCGCCGCCGUAAAAC